rnacentral:rRNA from 1 species
UGUAAAGCUAGAGUUCAGGAGGGGGAGCUGGAAUUCCUGGUGUAGGGGUGAAAUCUGUAGAUAUCAGGAAGAACACCGGUGGCGAAGGCGAGCUCCUGGCCUGAGGACUGACGCUGAGGCGCGAAAGCGUGGGGAGCGAACAGGAUUAGAUACCCUGGUAGUCCACGCUGUAAACGAUGUGCACUGGGUGUUGGUGCUUAAAGAGGCAUCAGUGCCGCAGCUAAGGCGAUAAGUGCACCGCCUGGGGAGUAUGCUCGCAAGGGUAAAACUCAAAGGAAUUGACGGGGGCCUGCACAAGCGGUGGAGCA